rnacentral:rRNA from 1 species
UCGAGUUGUUUGGGAAUGCAGCUCAAAAUGGGUGGUAAAUGCCAUCUAAAGCUAAAUAUUGGCGAGAGACCGAUAGCGAACAAGUACCGUGAGGGAAAGAUGAAAAGAACUUUGGAAAGAGAGUUAAACAGUACGUGAAAUUGCUGAAAGGGAAACGCUUGAAGUCAGUCGCAUUGACUAGAAAUCAGCCAUGCUUGUAAAAAAGUUUGGUGUAUUUUCUAGUUGAUGGGUCAGCAUCAAUUUUGACCAUUGGAUAAAAGUCUAUGGGAAUGUGGCAUCUUUGGAUGUGUUAUAGCCCAUGGUCGCAUACAGUGGUUGGGAUUGAGGAACUCAGCACGGCCGCAAGGCACGGGUUUCGACCACGUUCGUGCUUAGGAUGCUGGCAUAAUGGCUUUAAUCGACCCGUCUUGAAACACGGACCAAGGAGUCUAACAUGCCUGCAAGUGUUUGGGUGGAAAACCCAUACGCGUAAUGAAAGUGAAAGUUGAGAUCCCUUUACUGGGAGCAUUGACGCCCAGACCAGAGCUUUUGUGACGGAUCUGCGGUAGAGCAUGUAUGUUGGGACCCGAAAGAUGGUGAACUAUGCCUGAAUAGGGUGAAGCCAGAGGAAACUCUGGUGGAGGCUCGUAGCGAUUCUGACGUGCAAAUCGAUCGUCAAAUUUGGGUAU